rnacentral:rRNA from 1 species
AGAACGAACGCUGGCGGCAGGCUUAACACAUGCAAGUCGAACGCCCCGCAAGGGGAGUGGCAGACGGGUGAGUAACACGUGGGAACAUACCCUUCGGUUCGGAACAACGUUUGGAAACGAACGCUAAUACCGGAUACGGCCUAUGGGCGAAAGAUUCAUCGCCGAAGGAUUGGCCCGCGUUCGAUUAGCUUGAUGGUGAGGUAACGGCUCACCAUGGCGACGAUCGAUAGCUGGUCUGAGAGGAUGGCCAGCCACAUUGGGACUGAGACACGGCCCAAACUCCUACGGGAGGCAGCAGUGGGGAAUAUUGGACAAUGGGCGCAAGCCUGAUCCAGCCAUGCCGCGUGAGUGAUGACGGCCUUAGGGUGUAAAGCUCUUCGUCACGCGACGAUAAUGACGGUAGCGUGAGAAGAAGCCCCGGCUAACUUCGUGCCAGCACGCCGC